rnacentral:rRNA from 1 species
GCUUACGGCCAUACCAACCUGGCUAUGCCCGAUCUCGUCUGAUCUCGGAAGCUAAGCAGGUUUGGGCCUGGUUAGUACUUGGAUGGAAGACCGCCUGGGAAUACCAGGUGCUGUAAGCU